rnacentral:rRNA from 1 species
UACGUAGGGUGCAGGCGUUAAUCGGAAUUACUGGGCGUAAAGCGUGCGCAGGCGGUUAUGCAAGACAGAUGUGAAAUCCCCGGGCUUAACCUGGGAACCGCAUUUGUGACUGCAUAGCUGGAGUACGGCAGAGGGGGAUGGAAUUCCGCGUGUAGCAGUGAAAUGCGUAGAUAUGCGGAGGAACACCGAUGGCGAAGGCAGUCCCCUGGGCCUGUACUGACGCUCAUGCACGAAAGCGUGGGGAGCAAACAGG